rnacentral:rRNA from 1 species
UACGAAGGGGGCUAGCGUUGCUCGGAUUUACUGGGCGUAAAGGGCGCGUAGGCGGACAGUUAAGUUGGGGGUGAAAGCCCGGGGCUCAACCUCGGAAUUGCCUUCAAUACUGGCUGUCUUGAGUGUGAGAGAGGUGUGUGGAACUCCGAGUGUAGAGGUGAAAUUCGUAGAUAUUCGGAAGAACACCAGUGGCGAAGGCGACACACUGGCUCACUACUGACGCUGAGGAGCGAAAGCGUGGGGAGCAAACAGG